CAUCUCCCUAAGAGACCAUGUAGGGCAUACCCUGCUCACUGCACGAAAGAGCUGCAGUAAUUGAACUGUACUAAGGUAGCACAAUAAUUAGCCCUUUAAUUGACGGCCGGUAUAAAAGGGCCAACGAAAGACACUCUUUCCCUGAAAAAACUAAAAAUUAAUUCCUGGUAAAAAUUCCAAAAUAAACCGGAAGGACGACAAGACCCUAUAAAAUUUCACUUGAAAGCCUGCUUCCUUAGGUAAACCCAAUCAAGUUUUGCUGGGAUGGCAAUUACAUAAAACCUGAUAUUAUUCUCACACCGAAAAGUGCAUUAAAUGACCCUCUAAAAGCCCCAUAAACAAAUUACUUUAGGGAUAACAGCGUAAUUUUUUUCAAAGUCCUCAUUAAAAAAGAAGAUUACGACCUCGAUGUUGAAUUAAGGGGAUCCUCAGGCGCAAAAGCUUGAACGGGGGAUCUGUUCGAUCCAUAAACCCUCACAUGAUCUGA
rnacentral:rRNA from 1 species